rnacentral:lncRNA from 1 species
UUUUAAGGUCUUUCCCCUACAUGGGAAAGACCUUAUUGUUUUUCUAAUGUUUUUUUUUCUUCCAACAUUUUUUUGACAUGCCCUCCCCCCGUUUCUAUUGAAGUCAUCAAGACCAAAUAUUGACCAUCGAUAUAUCUCAUUAUGACGUAAUACCAGAUGAGGCUGUGUAGGAUUUCAUCAUCCCCUUUGAGAGUUAUAUCCCCUUGAAGCAUUUUUAUUAUUUGUAUUUUUCUUAAAAAGUAUAAAAGAUAGAAUAGAAUUGAAAAUGGCAGCAUGUACAGGAACA